AGUGAACGCUGGCGGUAGGCCUAACACAUGCAAGUCGAACGGCAGCACAGUAAGAGCUUGCUCUUACGGGUGGCGAGUGGCGGACGGGUGAGGAAUACAUCGGAAUCUACUUUUUCGUGGGGGAUAACGUAGGGAAACUUACGCUAAUACCGCAUACGACCUACGGGUGAAAGCAGGGGAUCUUCGGACCUUGCGCGAUUGAAUGAGCCGAUGUCGGAUUAGCUAGUUGGCGGGGUAGAGGCCCACCAAGGCGACGAUCCGUAGCUGGUCUGAGAGGGUGAUCGGCCACACUGGAACUGAGACACGGUCCCGGCUCCUACGGGAGGCAGCAGUGGGGAAUAUUAGACAAUGGGCGCAAGCCUGAUCCAGCCAUACCGCGUGGGUGAAGAAGGCCUUCGGGUUGUAAAGCCCUUUUGUUGGGAAAGAAAAGCAGCAGGUUAAUACCCCGCUGUUCUGACGGUACCCAAAGAAUAAGCACCGGCUAACUUCGUG
rnacentral:rRNA from 1 species